AAAAGAGUUUAUCAAGGCCGCGAGGGGGAGAAAUCGGACAACAGCAAAGCAACGAGACGAAGCUCUUCAAAGUCCAACAAAUCGCGACACUAUAAGUCCCAUGUCAUCAGCCAUCAUGAGCGCUGAAGUGACUUCAUUUUUAUUGGAGGAAGGCCAGAA
rnacentral:ribozyme from 11 species